CCUACGUGGAGCAGCAGUGGGGAAUAUUGGACAAUGGGCGAAAGCCUGAUCCAGCCAUGCCGCGUGUGUGAAGAAGGCCUUCGGGUUGUAAAGCACUUUCAGUGGGGAAGAAAGCCUUGGGGCUAAUACCCUCGAGGAAGGACAUCACCCACAGAAGAAGCACCGGCUAACUCCGUGCCAGCAGCCGCGGUAAUACGGAGGGUGCGAGCGUUAAUCGGAAUUACUGGGCGUAAAGCGCGCGUAGGCGGUCUGAUAAGCCGGUUGUGAAAGCCCCGGGCUCAACCUGGGAACGGCAUCCGGAACUGUCAGGCUAGAGUGCAGGAGAGGAAGGUAGAAUUCCCGGUGUAGCGGUGAAAUGCGUAGAGAUCGGGAGGAAUACCAGUGGCGAAGGCGGCCUUCUGGACUGACACUGACGCUGAGGUGCGAAAGCGUGGGUAGCAAACAGGAUUAGAUACCCUGGUAGUC
rnacentral:rRNA from 1 species